ensembl:lncRNA
GAGAAUUCAAUCGGCACACACCAGACUGUUCUGGAUCAUGGCACGCCUCACCAGCUACCCGGACGAUGCACUCUAUGCCUUAUACGAUGCUAGUUGGAACACUGCGUACAGAGCGUCAUCGUCCGAGGACAGUCCCCGGGUGAAUUUCUGCACCUUUGUGGAGUGGACUCUGGCGAGAAACGGGUCCCCUCUUACCAUCUGCCCCAUGGAGGAUCUCGCCGGAUCCACUCCCAACCCAGAGCUCAGCCCACCAUCUCCCCACAGUACGGAGCAUAAGCCCGAGCCCACUGAUGAUGGAGAGACAGAGCCCAACCUGUUAGACCAGGUGCGAGAGCUGGGUACAGUGCCUACUGCAAGGGAGCAAGCCGCGGAUGCUGUGAGUGCGGAGUGGAGCUCCGUCCCCUGCAUCGCGGCUGAAGGUGAGCUGAAUAUGGAACACAAAAAGGGCCAAAAUGAGGAGGAGGAUCUUAUUGAUUGGGAAUCUGAUCUGGAGGUUGAACUGCCGCCUCUCCUCUCUCCGUCAUCUCCGCUGGUCCCGCCCAGUCCUCCCUCGUCGUCGGUUUCCUCGUCCAGCCCUGAGGGGGCUUCCAAUCCUCCAGUGCCUGCUCCUAGAAUGUGCCCUCCAGUGGCCGCUCCUCCAAAAUGCCCUUCCUCCCACCGGCUUCUGCCUCCUCCACCGCUGUCAUCUGGCAGACCCUCUGCUCGCUCUCAGCCCACCAUCAUUGCAGUGCAAGCCCUGCGGGACUCCCAUCCUCCAGCGCCAUCUCCACCUUGGUCCUCACUCACUCUGGCUCCACCGUGGAUCUCUGGAUCUCUGCCUCCACCUCGGUCACCAGAGCCCUCGGCUCCACCCUGGACCCCGGAUCCUUGGCAUCCCCCUGGCUCGUUGGCUCUCACUCUCUGCCUCGGUUUCCUCCUCCUGGAUUUAGCGACCAUUCCUCCUCCAUGGCUCCUCCCACUGUCGGCUCCACCUUGGGCCACUGUUAUGGCUGUGGCCUGGGUCCAGCUGGGCUCCUCCUCCUCCUGCUCCAAGCUCCUCCUGUCUCCUCCCUGGCUCCUCCCUCCAUGGUCUUUGUCUACAGGCCCCCUCCCAGGGGUCCGUCCUCCACCGGAGCCUCCUCCCAAGUUACCAAGUUUUAUAAGCCUUGUCCUUUCAGUUCAGUUUUGUCGGGUCCUACCAGUUACGUACGUGCGUCUUCCUCCUGUUCUCCAUGUUGGAUUUACCCCGUGUUGGAUUAAUAAAGACUCUUUCGAUUAUCUACGGCUCCAUGUACCUUCCGACACAGUAGUGUGACAAAAUUACAGUAAUAUGAAUUUUUAUAAUAUGUUUAGUGUAAUAAUAACAGAAGCUAUGUAAAUACUACUGAAACUUUAAAACUGAUAAAAAUGUUUUUAAAGUUAAACAUGCAAAUGUGCCAUUAAAUUAUUGAAAUAUUUACUUAAAAUCACAGGGGGUACUUCAAGUAAAUAAUUUAGGUCAAAGGGGUUCGGCUGACAAAAAUUUAGAAAACCCCUGUUCUAAGGUAUGGCUUA